UUAAGUGUGUAAGAGCACACGGUGGAUGCCUUGGCAUCAAGAGCCGAUGAAGGACGUGGGAGACUGCGUUAAGCCUAGGGGAGUUGUCAACCGAGCGGUGAUCCUAGGAUGUCCGAAUGGGGAAACCUAGCCGCAGUGAUGUGUGGUUACCUGCGCCUGAAUAUAUAGGGCGUGUGGAGGGAACGCGGGGAAGUGAAACAUCUCAGUACCCGUAGGAAGAGAAAACAACCGUGAUUCCGUGAGUAGUGGCGAGCGAAAGCGGAUGAGGCUAAACCAUAUGCGUGUCAAGCCGGCAGGCGUUGCGUGUGUGGUGUUGUGGGAGCGAGUGUGUGUGGCUGCCGUCGCACGCUGUUGAUGUUGUCGCUAGCGGAAGUCGUUUGGAACGGCGCACCGUAGUGGGUGAGAGUCCCGUACGUGAAAGUGGCAAUUGUCGAUGGUUCUUGUUUCCCGAGUAGCACCGGGCCCGUGAAAUCUGGUGUGAAUCUGUCGGGACCACCCGAUAAGCCUAAAUACUUCUUGAUGACCGAUAGCGGACCAGUACCGUGAGGGAAAGGUGAAAAGUACCCCGGGAGGGGAGUGAAAUAGUACCUGAAACCGUGUGCUUACAAUCCGUCAGAGGCUUUCGGGCUGAUGGCGUGCCUUUUGAAGAAUGAGCCUGCGAGUUAGUGGUAUGUCGCGAGGUUAACCCGUGUGGGGUAGCCGGAGCGAAAGCGAGUCCGAAGAGGGCGUUGAGUGGCAUGCUCUAGACCCGAAGCGGGGUGAUCUACCCAUGGCCAGUGUGAAGCGACGGUAAGACGUCGUGGAGGCGCGAACCCACUUAGGUUGAAAACUGAGGGGAUGAGCUGUGGGUAGGGGUGAAAGGCCAAUCAAACUCCGUGAUAGCUGGUUCUCCCCGAAACUUACCGACACCAGCCAAACUCCGAAUGCCAGGAUGUGAGAGCACGGCAGUGAGACUGUGGGGGAUAAGCUUCAUAGUCGAGAGGGAAACAGCCCAGAUCGCCGGCUAAGGCCCCUAAGCGUGUACUAAGUGGAAAAGGAUGUGGGAUCGCUUAGACAACCAGGAGGUUGGCUCAGAAGCAGCCACCCUUGAAAGAGUGCGUAAUAGCUCACUGGUCAAGUGGUCCUGCGCCGACAAUGUAGUGGGGCUCAAGUACACCGCCGAAGCCGCGGCAUUCCAGUUUUUUGGGAUGGGUAGGGGAGCGUCGUGUGUCCGUUGAAGCUGCAGAGUGAUCUAGUGGUGGAGGGUAUGCGAGUGAGAAUGCAGGCAUGAGUAGCGAAUGACAUGUGGGAAACAUGUCCUCCGGAUGACCAAGGGUUCCUGGGCUAGGCUAAUCCUCCCAGGGUGAGUCGGGUCCUAAGGCGAGGCCGACAGGCGUAGUCGAUGGAUAACGGGUUGAUAUUCCCGUACCCGUAUAAGCGCGCCCAUGGUGAAUCAGUGAUACUAACUGUCCAGAAGCUGCUGCUGCCUUUUUUUGAGGUGGUGGUUGUGGAUGCACGGGACCUGAUCUGGUAGUAGCCAAGCGAUGGGGUGACGCAGGAAGGUAGCUGUGCCAGGUAGUGGAUUGCCUGGUGUAAGCGUGUAGGGUGACAGGUUGGUAAAUCCGCUUGUUGUGUACCUGAGACGUGAUGCGUAGCCAUUGUGGUGAAGUCAGUGAUCCUAUGCUGCCGAGAAAAGCCUCUAGUGAGUUCUUAUACGGCCCGUACCCCAAACCGACACAGGUGGUCAGGUAGAGAAUACUAAGGAGUUCGAGAGAACUGUGGUUAAGGAAUUCGGCAAAAUGCCCCCGUAACUUUGGAAGAAGGGGGACCGGUGUUGGUGAUCACCUUUUCGGUGUGAGCUGAUGUCGGUCGCAGAGACCAGAGAGAAGCGACUGUUUACCAAAAACACAGGUCCGUGCGAAGACGUAAGUCGAUGUAUACGGACUGACGCCUGCCCGGUGCUGGAAGGUUAAGAGGACUGGUUAGUGGCCCUUGUGGCUGCGAAGCUGAGAAUUUAAGCCCCAGUAAACGGCGGUGGUAACUAUAACCAUCCUAAGGUAGCGAAAUUCCUUGUCGGGUAAGUUCCGACCUGCA
rnacentral:rRNA from 1 species